CCCCGCCUGGGGAGUACGGCCGCAAGGCUAAAACUCAAAGGAAUUGACGGGGACCCGCACAAGCGGCGGAGCAUGCGGAUUAAUUCGAUGCAACGCGAAGAACCUUACCAAGGCUUGACAUAUACGAGAACGGGCUAGAGAUAGUCAACUCUUUGGACACUCGUAAACAGGUGGUGCAUGGUUGUCGUCAGCUCGUGUCGUGAGAUGUUGGGUUAAGUCCCGCAACGAGCGCAACCCUCGUUCUAUGUUGCCAGCACGUAAUGGUGGGAACUCAUGGGAUACUGCCGGGGUCAACUCGGAGGAAGGUGGGGAUGACGUCAAAUCAUCAUGCCCCUUAUGUCUUGGGCUUCACGCAUGCUACAAUGGCCGGUACAAAGGGCUGCAAUACCGUAAGGUGGAGCGAAUCCCAAAAAGCCGGUCCCAGUUCGGAUUGAGGUCUGCAACUCGACCUCAUGAAGUCGGAGUCGCUAGUAAUCGCAGAUCAGCAACGCUGCGGUGAAUACGUUCCCGGGUCUUGCACA
rnacentral:rRNA from 1 species